CAAUUUGUACUUGGCUCGAUCGAAUCUUUGAUUGCUCCUUUAGUUUGCAUGUUGGUCCCUGAACUUUCAUUUUGAAUCGUUUUGGUCCUUUUUGCUUUUUUUUCUUGUGAAUUCCACCAUGUCUAUCACUAUACCCUACAAUCCAAGAAUUAAACGAAUUUAAGCCACAAUUAAAACACUUUUCUCAUGAUUUAAUCAUGUUUGUGCAUUAAAUAAGUGCACUAAAACACACUUAUCGAUGGGAUGUAAAGGGAGAAAUAGGGAACUGAUGUGUGCAUGAUAUGAGAAGUCAUAGAACACAUCUAUAUCGCAGGACACAAAACACUAGCGUUGUCCAAAAAAGCAUUCAAUCACAGUGCUAAUGGAAGCACCUACCUCCCUUAUACACAUCAUCCUACUAACAAACUUUCUAAAGUGAUGUUAAGUAUCUAUAUCGAUCUCACCUCUUUUUGUUUUCUUUUAACAUGAAAUUGCCAUUUCAUUUUUAUUCUCUCUCUUUUUUUUUUUCUUUUUUUUUUUUUUUUGUCUCAUGAGUAUUAUGCUACUAAGUUUAGCUUUUGUACAGAAAAUCCAAAUUAGUUGUACGACAAAGUAGUCGGUUUUGGUUCUUCUAUCUCGAAAUGUGUUUUAUGUCUUUUAUGAUAACUAAAAGCAACGUAAUUUUAGGGUGACCAUUCCAACAACAACAAUACGAAUUUCGAGUGAAAUGUAAAUUACAUUUAUUUUAUAUAAAAUAUCACAUAUCUAGAGACCAAAAAUUAAAAAAGAUAAAAUGUCAAAGCAUUACAUACUUUGGCACCAUACCAAUUACUAAGACAAUCUGCUUAUCCGUAUUAACUAUUCAUAUUGUAUCCUGCAUUCGUUUUCUUUCAUGAAAUAGCAGAAGAGCUACUUACACAUUCUCUUAUUAUGGCCCUUCCCUCCACAACGUCCAAAUAGAAAUGUAGAGAGUUGUCAUUUGUUAUUCAGAUAGGGAGGACGUAUCAACAUCAGCAAUAUGCUCAAUUAACAAAUUGAAUCAAGUUAUGUAUUAGGUUAAGGAUUGCGAUAUAACCUUUGCAAAAAUAAUGCUACUAUAGAAGACACACCAAAUCGGCGGGUGCUCCGACUGAAUAAUUUCACAGAUUAUGUAAUUUGAACCUUCAUGAAUAACUAGAAAAACGCACAAAGUUUCUUUCAUAAAGUUCCAAUUGCCCAACAGUUUAAUUUCAUACAAAUCAAAGAAUAUGCGGACAUAUACGAAUAAAUCUGUUAAGUUUCUAAUAUUGAUAUAAGUAUGUAUAUGUAAUGUUAUGAUAACUCAAGAAUCAUGGACCAAAUGUUUAUCAUCAAAUCAAAAAUGAAAACAUAAAAAUUGAUUUUACAGGUAUUUUAUAGGGUGGGAUUUCUAAUUUAGGCAUGUUUUAACAUUACAGAGAUAUAGAUAUAUAACAAAUCAUAAACAUCUAUGAUUACCAAACAAUAAUCAAAAAACAGUACAAAUAUUUUACAAAAAGAUGGAAUUCACAUGCGGAAAUUCAACAUUCAAAAUACACAACGUAACAUUAGUUCUUGUUUAAAUUAGAGAGAGGAUAUUAAUACAUGUAAUUAAUUUUACAAAGAAGAUAACCAGCAAUCAAAACGGAUCUCGCACCUUGAAAAAAUUUCUGAAUCAAAUCUCACACGGUUGCGGAUUAUCUAUUAUCAUAAUUGAAAUGAUAGCAGUAACAUAGCAAGAAAUAUCAUUUCGAAUUCAAAUUUCCAUAUGUUCAGCAUGUUGAUUUAAUGCAUCCCUUCUGCUGCAUUUGAAGGUUGCAGUUACAAUCACAAAAAUGGGAAAGUUUCGUGUACAGUAAUUUUGGUCUUAUAAUGAGAUUAGGUAGUAAUUGUGGUUUAAAAACUAUUUAGUAGUAUAAAAUGAAUUACUUUGUAUUAUUAUGGCAUAUAUGAAUUUUUAGGCCCACUACUCUAAAAACAAAACAAAUUAGAUAGUAUCUAAAACAAAAUAAAAUCUCACACAAUCGAAUUUAAUACGUUAAUAAAAUCCCCAAUGCAUCAAACUACACAACAAUUUCUCCACCGUCUCUGACUCCUCCUACUCCUAUAACUUUUCUUUUGGGUCAUUGCUUUACACCAUAAGCCUCAUUCUCAUUCUUAAUCUUUCCUUACACCGAUAUCGUUCAUUCUUGAUAUUAAACUUUUCUUCUAUCUCCGUUGCACCAAACAAUAUCUAAGAAUGUUACGGAAGCAAUUGCAUGUACUGAAGCCCUAAUCCUUGAUAUCUGGUCUGCUGAUAAUGUUGGGUUAUCGUGAAUCCCAAGGACGAAAUUAAAGGUAAUACAAUAGAUAGCAGUUGCUAUAUUUCUUUAUUUCAUAAAUGAUAAGUCGGCUCUUGGACAAUCUCAGUUGACUCUCCAUAGUGGUACCUGCAAUUCAUUUGGGAAGACAUUUUUUUUUGGUUACUUUUUUGAGUAUUUUUAACUUUUUAAAAUUUAAGUCACUUUUUUAGUAUUUAUCAUUUAUUUUUAAUUUCUGUAACUUAUUUAGUAUUUAUCAAAUUUUUUUUUAUUUUUUGUCGUUUUCUUGAAAUUCCUGCCACUUUUUUUAGUAACAAAUAUUACUUUCUUUUUAAAAUAAAAAUGACAUCAUAUGUUACUUUUUAAUCAAAAAGUGAUACUUAACUUAAAAAAGAGACAUUGCCUCCCUUUUUUUAAAUAAAAAGUGACAUUGUGUCACUUAAUUUUAUAAAUUAUUUUUUACUUCUUUUUAAAAAAUAAUAAUAAUUCUGUCGCUUUCUUGAAACUCGCGUCACUUUUUUGAGUGACAAAUAUUUGAUAAAAGUGAAAAAUGACACUUAACUUAAAAAGUGAUAUCGUGUCAGUUUUUUUUGUAAAAAAGUGACAUUGUAUCAUUUUUUUUAAAAUUUUACAUAGUAUUUUUUACUUUCAAAAUACUUUUCACUCCAAAAAAGCCAUAAUUAGGGGUAUUUUUGUAAGUUGCCCUUUUAUUUAUGAGCCAAUUAUGCGUAGUUUAAUACUUAGGAUGUGUUUGAUUACAUUUAUUUUUCAUGGAAAAUAUCAAUUUUCCAUUCAAAUUCCUAUUUGGAGUGUUUGAUUGCUAUUUUUUUCCAUGGAAAAUAUUUUCCAACUUUUGAAAAUAUACCUAAUUUUCUUUUUUUUUAAGGAAAAUAUUUUCUUUGAGUAGAUGUGGUUUUUAUUUUCCACAAAAGAUGGAAAAUAUUUUCUUUUCUAAGUGAUAUUUUCCAAGUCAAUCAAACACAUUCUUAAAUAUUUAUUUUAUUUUUAUACUUAUGUGAACUUAAUUCUUGCAUAUCUUGAUUCUUUAUGUUUAGAAUAAUAUGCAAUUUUAGGAUGAAUUAAGUUAUGAAAAGUUGCAAUUAUGCUCAUUUAGUUUGCAUGAGUCAAUUAUGCGCUAAUUUAAUUUCUACAAUUUAUAAAGCUUAAGAAAAUGUUUUGUGCAUGAUCAUAAAAUGUUAGUUAAGAUUGUGCUAUUAGACUCAUUCUCAUAUUGAGUUAAUCAUUUGUGCAUAAAAUAAUUAAUGUCUAGUGAUCUAUAUAGUUUUAUUUAAUUGGAGAUUAGCCACGUCAUCUUUAAUUAAAUAAAAUUAUUAUUAAGUUUAGGAUCAUAAAGAGUAAAGACGUUAGAUUGUAAUUAAUUAUACUUAAUAUGAUCAAUUUCAUCUCAUCCAACAUGAACUUUUAUUAUAUUUAUAUUAAUUAGAAUAAAUUAUCAAAUUACCUCAUAAUUUGCCCAUAUAAAUUAUGAAUAAGUAUAUAAUUUGAUAAUUUUAUUAUAAUGUUUACUUUAUGAUAGAAUAUCAAUUUUUUUUUCAUAAUUAACUUAAAUAUAAAGUAAGUACAUAAUUUGAUAAUCCUAUCAUAAGGAAUAAUUGAAUAUAUUUGACUUAAAAAUCUCGUCCAAAUGCAAUUUUUAUGUCAUUAUAUUCAAUUUUAACAUGAUUUACAUUGAUAAAACAUGCAAUUUAUUUAAAUAAGCCUCAAUUUUAACAUAAGCAUUUUAAUAUUAUGUAGCUUUACAAUCUGCUAAUGUUUUUUAUAUUCGUUGCAAUAUUCUUGAAUCAAAGGGCGAUAAUGACAAAGUAUGGAAUGAGAGAAUUCUUGCCCAUUUAGGGUGGAUGGAUAUUGAUUAUGCUAUUAGGAAAGAUGAACAACAUGAAUUUACCUAUGACAGCACUGUAGCAGGGAUCGCGCUUUAUGAGCAACGAGAGUGAUCUAAUCGCCUUAACGUGAUGUUCAUUUAGACUAAAAUUUCUACUGGUAUAUGUGGUUUCAUCGAUCAGCAUCACAAGGUCUAGGACUUGAUAAAGGCCAUUAAUAAUCAGUAUGUCACUUUAGAUAAUGCAUUAGCAAGCACCAUUAUAGUGAAGUUCUCAUUCUUAAAACUCACCAGUGAAAGGUGCGUGCGAGCACAUCAUGUAGAUGAGAGACAUUAAUGCUCAACUUAAGAAACUUGAAGUUGAGAUGUAUGAAUCAUUCACUAUGCACUACAUCUUGAAUACUUUCUCGCAAUAGUACGGGCCUUUCAAAAUCUCAUACAGUACACAUAAGGAUAAAGGUCAAUAAAUAAAUUGUUGACUAUAUGUGUUCAAGAGGAAAAGAGACUGGUGAUGGAGCAAGGUGAAGGUGUAUUGCUGACUACAACCCAUUGAAAGAUAAAAACCUAAGCUAAUCAAAAGGGGAAAGGUAAAAUACCACCCAAAGUUGAUAUUAAAAAAAAAUGCCAAGUGUUACUUCUAUAAGACAAAAAACAUGAAGAAAGAUUGUGCCGAAUUCAAAAAAUGGCUUAAGGAUAAAGAUAAUCAAACAUCGUUUGUUUAUUAUGAAUCUAAUAUGGUUAAUGUAAAUAUUAACGUGGAUUGACUCUAGAUUUACAAUACAUAUUAUAAACUCCUUAAAGGGUAUGCAAAACUUAAGGAAACCAGUGGGAAAUAAGCAAAAUAUCUUAUCCGGAAACAAGAUGGGCUUGCAUGUAGGGGCUAUCGGAACAUGCAUUUUAACCUUAAGUAAUGACUUUGUUUUAAAAUUAGAUAGGACCUUAUAUGUUCCAAGCUUACCACGAAAUUUGAUUUCAAUUUCCAGACUUGUGCCCUUAGAAUAUUCCUUUAAUCUUUUGUAAUUAUGUUAGGAAUGUUAUUUUGUCUGACGAUCUUUAUUGUAUUAAUUUACAAAGCAAUAUCACUUAUAGUUCAAAGCAUGUUCACACUGGCACUAAACGAUGUAAUAUUAACGAAGACUUCUUUAUGUUGUGACACGGAGAUUAGGACAAACCUCAAUAAAAAGAAUUAAAAUAUAACAAAAAAAUUUCAUCACAAUUAUUGAUGAUUACUCACGAUAUAUAUAUACUUGUUUCAUAAUGAGAACGAAUCAUUGGAUGCCUUUAAAACCUUCAAUGCCGAAAUGGAAAAAUAAUGUGAGAAGUAGAUUAAUAUCGUAAGAUCAGAUAUACAGAGGAGAGAUAAGCACUUGGUCCAUUCAUUAAGUUUCUUCUAGAACAUGAAAUAGUUUUCCAUUACAAUAUACUUGGUUUACCAUAUCAAAAUGGUGUGACAGAAAGAAGAAAUAGAACAUUAUUAGCUAUGAUGCAGAGCAUGCUUAGUAGCUCCAAUCUUCCUAAAUCAUUGUGGACUGAAACGCUUAAGAUGACAGUGUAUAUAUUGAAUUGUGUCCCAAUUAAGGAUGUAAUAAAAACAUUAUUUGAAUUAUUGAAAGAUUAGAAACCAAGUUUGUGAUAUAUGCACAUUUGGGGAUAUCCAUCUAAAGUGAGGAUCUAUAAUCCAUAAGAGAAUAAGUUGGAUUCAAGGACUACUAGUGGCUAUUUCAUUAGAUAUACCGAAAGGUCUAAAUUGUACAGAUUUUGCUGUCCAUCUCAUGCCAUUAAGAUUGUGGAAUCAUGAAACAUUAAGUUUCUUGAGAAUGACUUGGUAAGUGGAGCAAUCAAACCUAGAUUAAAGUUCAUGAGCAUGAUCAUUUAGAAUCUUAACCUUCCACUUCAGAUGACAAAUUAGUCAUAGUUCACAGCACUCCUCAAGUACAAACAUGUGUAGAACAAUCAACCAUUAAAGUGUCACAAACUACUGACAACGUUCAAAUAGAUCAGGUAAAUCAGGAAUUAUCAUAAUCUCCUGAACAAAAAAAAUUACCAAAAGCUUCACAGGAAGAUAAUGGUACAGCAUUAAGAAGAUUUGCUAAAACCAAAAGAUCAUUAAUUUCUAUUGAUUAUGAAUUGUAUCUAAAAAAUUUGACCAUGGUAUUGGAGUUGAAAAUCAUCCUCGAAACAUUUUCACACGCCAUGAGUUGUAAAGAGUCAAAAUUACAGUACAAUGCCAUGAAGGAAGAGAUGAGUUCCAGGAAGAGUAUGGGAUCUUGUUGAGUUGCUUAGUGGCGCCGAAACUAUUGGUUGUAAAUGGUUUUUAAGACUAAGAAAGAUUCAUUAGGUAACAUUGAAUGAUAUAAAAUGAGACUUGUAAUAAAAUUCACUCAAAAUGAAGGAAUUGAUUAUAUGCAGACCUUCUAUCUAGAUCUAAGAAAAAUUCUUUACUAAUUAUUUUGAUAUUAGUAGCCCAAUUAAACCUUGAGUUACAAUAAAUGGAUAUGAAAAUAGCAUUUCUCAAUGAAGAUUUAGAGGAGGAGAUUUAUAUAAAACAACCUUAAAGAUUUUCCUAUAAUGAUGGUGAGCACUUCUAUAAGUUUAAGAAGUCUAUAUGCUGUCUAAAACAAGCGUUUCGUCAAUGGUAUUUCAAAUUUCAUAGAGUAUUUUCUUCAUUUGAAUUUGUUGAAAAUCCCAUGAAAUAAUGUAUAUAUAUCAGAAGGUUAGUGAAAGUAAGAUUUGUUUUCUUAUUUUAUACAUAAAUGAUAUUUUACUUGCAACCAUUGAUAAAUGUUUGUUGCAUGUGGCGAAACAAUUUCUCUUUAAACAUUUCGAUAUGAAAAACGUGGGUUAGGUAUCUUAUGUCAUUGGUAUUAAAAUUCAUAAACAUAGGGUACGAGAACUCUUCUCAAGAAACCUAUAUCAAUAAAAUUUUAGAGAGAUUUCGUAUCAAGGAUUGUUCAUCAAGUGUAGCUUCCAUUGUGAGGGUAAUAGGUUCAAUUUGAACCAAUGCCUGAAAAAUAAUAUAGAAAAGGAACGAAUGAAGAGCAUUCCAUAUGCUUCCGUUGUCGGAUGCCUGAUGUAUGCUCUAGCCUGCACAAGGCCUAACAUUGCAUUGAUUAUAGGAAUGUUAAAACAAUAUCGAAGUAAUCCAAUUAUAGAUCAAUGGAGAAUAACAAAGAAAGUAAUGAGGUACCUUCAAGGAACAAAAAAUUACGUGCUUAUAUAUAAGUGGAUUGAUAAUUUGGAAGUGAUUGAAUACUUAGAUUCAGACAUUGCUAGGUGUGUUAAUUUACGCUAUCAACUUUAGAGUAUGUUUUUCUAAUGGUUGGUAGAGUUGUAUUUUGGAUGAGUGUCAUGCAAACUUUGAUUGCUACUUCCACCAUAAAAGCUAGUUCAUCUCAUGUUUUAAGACCACUUUACAUGGUGUAUGAAUCAAGAGUUUCAUAUCUAGGUUUAGAGUUAUGGAUUCCAUUUUUAGGCAUUAAGAAUUUAUUGCGAUAAUUCAACUACUAUCUUUGGCUAAGAACAACAAAAAUGGUAGUCAAAGUAAACAUAUCGACAUUAAGUAUUUAGUCAUAAGGGAACAUAUUAAAGAAAAGAAAGUGGUCAUUAUGCAACGUAAGCACUGAAUUGAUGAUCACUGAUCCUUUGACUAAAAGUAUGCCACCAUUAAAAUUCAAGGAUCAUGUAGAGAAAAUAGGAGUUGGCUCCACUAUAUAAUGGUAGUUACAAUUUUUGUAUAAAACCUCUUAUUUAUUGUGAUGUUUUUCAUACUCAUGCACACCUCAAUUUAUUUGAGAAAAUACAUUUAUGUACGAUCAAGAAUAAGACAUAGGGUCUUUUCAUUAAGCCCUUGUUUGAGCUCUAUUCUUUUUAUAUUAAUGCAUUUUUGAAUAGUGUACUAAUGGAAACUAUAUGAUUAAAAAAUAAAAAUAAAAAUAAAAAUUUGAAUUUGCGUGUAACAUUAUUUUAUUGAAAAAUGUGUGGUUAAAAUGACGUUAAAACACUAUUUAAAAAUGUAUUUUUUUUUUUAUAAAAAAUGAGAAUCAAACAGGGGCUAAGUAUUGUUAUCAUAUAAAGAAUAAUUAUUGAGGAACUAAAUAUAUUGUAAUAUAUGGAAUAUAAUAUUAGUUAUUAGAGGACUCAUUGCUAUGAUUCAUGUGUUUAUUUCUUAAAAGGACGUUCGAUGGGAUUAAGUUGAGACAUUAGGUUAAUGUGAGGAUAUGGUUUACCUAAAACUAUCAACUUGUGACUUGAUGGUAUUGAUGUUGACACAAUAAGGUCUUCCCACGUUUUUGGCAGAGGCAUGGUCUUUCCUUCUUAUGUAGACUUACCCUCUACCAUUUUUGAGAGGAGCAGCUCUCGAUUUUUCUCCCAGAAGAAAGUGAGCUCUCGGUUUUUUAGCAAAGGGUGGUGGUUCUUCAUUGGUUUUCCCCUCUCUCUUGGAAGGUAAUUAGCAAGUCAUGGAAGGCUGUUCCUGAGCCUGAAAAACAGCCAUUAGAAGGGAAGAAAGCUGCUGCAAGUAAGGAGAAAAUCUGUCCAAAUUUCCGGCCGAACACAGGUUGUAUUUUUCCAUCCCCUUUUUUUCAUUGUUUUGCCUUGAAUCUUGUCUAUUGGUUGAUGUUUUGGUUGAUUGAACUCCUAGGAUCCCCAACAAACUGGUAUCAGAGCUAGGAAGAGUGAUAUUAGUCCAAAAUCGAUCAAAAACCAGCAAGGAAUCGCCAUUACCACUUACUAACCGAAUCUGAAAAACUUGAUUUUCGGCCAACCUAUUGACUUUCCGGCGAAAUGGACCAUGGAACCAUGACCAGCAGGAGGAGGCGCACCCUGUGGUGGGGCGCGUGACCGGCGGCGACGCCUGGCCGGACCUCCGACGAGCUUUUUUCGGGCAGUUUACUUCUUUUGACGUCCUGAACGCACUGAUGUUGUUUGUUUUCUGUUUCAGAUUUUACAGAAAAAAUUGGACGAUUUUGCCCCUAGCUUGACGUCUACGGCAAUUUGGUUCAGAAACUUGGUGGUAUAUUUACUGUUUGUCAACAGUAGUUUGGUAAGAUUAUUCCAAACUCUCCGUUAGGUUAGGUUUGGUAUCCUUAUCGGUUUAUGCAUGGUUAUUGCUUGGUUGCUUAUUUGUGAAUUCUGUUGAUUGAAUUCUUGUGAUUAAUUUGUAACCUGGAAGCAUAUUUACCUGCUUUAUAUACCUGUGUUUCGUGAACGGAUUAUUUCAUUGUUGUGCUUCAUUUCUAAAAAUUAUUAUUUUUAACUCGGUACUCAGUUUUAUAUUGAUCAUCUGAAAAAGAAUUUUUCAAAAACUUUUCUGUUGUGUCCACGAGUACAGGCCACUCUUUUAUAGAAUCUAUAAUGGGUUCGAGGGUCGAAUUAUCGCAAUUCGACGGAAAGGGGGAUUACUCGAUAUGGAAAUAGAAAAUGAGGGUCAUUUUGGUCCAACAGAGAGUUGCUAAAGUUCUUGAUGAUCCCGCUACAUUUUCUGAUGAGUUAAAAGCUAAAACAACUGAAAUUGAAGAAAUGAAUGAAAUUGCUUACAGUUAUAUAAUUUUGCAUCUAUCUGACAAUAUUGUGAGACAAGUUGAUAGUGCUAAAACUGCUAGAGCUUUGUGGAUUGCUUUAGAUGCCCUGUUCUUAACUAAAACUUUACCUAACAAAAUAUACCUGUUGGAGAAGUUGUUUAGUUUUAAGAUGGACCCGGGGAAGGAUGUCGAGGGGAAUUUGAGUGACUUUAGCAUAAUUGUUAAGAGUCUAGCUCAUAAUGAUAAAACAUAUGAUGAUGAGGAUUUAGCUGUCAUAUUGUUAAACUCUUUGCCCGAAUCUUACAGAGAAAUGAAAAAUGCCAUAAAGUAUGGUAGGGACACUCUCACUCAAGCUAUUGUUUCUGAUGCUUUAAAAUCAAGAGAGCUUGAAUUAAAAAGAGAGAAUAGAAUUCAUUCUCGUGAAAAGAGUCUAUUUGUUAGGGGAAGAUUUGAAAAGAAAGAAUUCAACUUCCAUGACAAGGAGGGGAGAGGAAAAUCUAAAAUGAGAUCCAAAUCUAAAGAUAAAAGCGGUAAGAAAUGUUAUCACUGUGGAAAGUUAGGACAUUUCAAGAAAGACUGCUUUGAUUGGAAAAGGAAACAAAAAGACCCGAACAAUUCUGAUGUUGAUAAUGCUGCUAUUGCUACUGAAUUUAAUAGUUUGCAUGUCAUGAAUGUGUUUGAAGAAGAAUUUGACAAAAAUUGGAUUCUUGACACAGGGUGCACUUUCCAUAUGUGCCCUGAUAGGUCUUGGUUUUAUAACUAUAGGGAGACUGAACCUAGGACGGUCUACAUGGGAGAUAAUAAUUCUCAAAAUGUGAUUGGAGUUGGUGACAUAGCCAUUAGGAUGUACGAUGGGGCCGUCACGCAACUUAGAAAUGUUAGAUAUAUCCCAAAUUUAAAGACGAACCUCAUUUCCUUAGGUUCUCUGGAAGAUGAGGGAUAUACCUUCAAGUCUGGUAACAAGAUUUUGAAAAUUAUGAAGGGUUCUCUUAUAGUUAUGAAGGGGCCCAAGAGGAAUGAGCUGUACUAUCUUGAGGGUAGAACUGAAAUACCAUUUGAUUCUAGCCUUCUUGCUGUGAGUAAAGACAAAACUGAACUUCGGCAUAACAGAAUGGGUCACAUUGGGUUUAAAGGUCUAAAAUCUUUAAGUAAUCAGAAAUUACUUGGAAAAGAUGACAUUGAAACUAUGGAAUUCUGUGAAACUUGUGUUUUGGGUAAGUCUCAUAAGGUGAGCUUUGAAGCUAGCUCUCAUAGGACCAGCGGACCAUUGGACUAUGUCCAUGCUGAUCUAUGGGGCCCAGAGAAGCACUCCACAUUUGGUGGGAGCAAGUACUUCUUAUCCUUAGUUGAUGAUUACUCAAGAAAGGUUUGGAUUUAUCCUUUGAAAGCUAAGUCGGAAACUUUUGGAAAAUUCAGGAUUUGGUUAAAGUCUGUUGAGAAUCACUUAGAUAAGAAACUUAAAACGUUAAGAACUGAUAAUGGGCUUGAAUUCUGUAAUAGCGAAUUUGACAACUUCUGUAAGCAGAAAGAUAUAACAAGACACAGAACUGUUAAAUACACACCUGAACAAAAUGGGGUCACUGAAAGAAUGAACAGGACCAUAAUGAACAAAGUUAGGUGUAUGUUGAUUAGCUCUGGUCUUGCGAAAGGUUUUUGGGCUGAAGCUGCAAGUACUGCAGCUUAUCUGAUUAAUAGGUUUCCGUCCAGCAGUAUAGGGUUUAAGACCCCACAGGAGUUGUGGACAGGAGAGCCUCCAAAUCUGGAACACUUGAAGGUGUUUGGAUGUGCUGCAUAUGCACAUCAAUCUGAAGGGAAACUUGAGCCCAGGGCUGUCAAGUGUGUGAUGUUAGGGUAUCCCGAGGGUGUGAAGGGCUAUAGGUUAUGGGUUUUAGGGGUCUAAGGCAUUAAGAUUAUUAACAGCAGGAAUGUAGUCUUUAAUGAAUCUGAGAUGCCAUGUCUAAAACAGAAAACCGAAGAAACUAACAAAUCUGAAAUUGAGAAGAGUAUUCAGACUGAGGUGAAGCUGACUAGGCUAAAUUCACCUACACCUAGGAAUGACGAAAAUGACCCUAUACAUCAUGAAAAUGAAAAUGAAAUUGAAAUUGAACCUGAACCUGAACCUGAACCUCAACCUGAAGAGGUGACUGAACUUCAAGAUAACAUUGAACCAGUUGAAGUUGAACAUUUUAAUGAUCAGCCACCUAAUCAAGAUUAUCAGCUUACUAUGGAUCGGAGAAGGAGGCAAAUCAGGCCAAAUCCUAGAUAUGAAUCCCUAAACUUGACUGAUUUUACCUUGGUUUCAGGUGAAGCCCUUGAACAGAUAGAACCUGCUAGUUAUGAAGAAGCUGUUAAUGGAAAAUGUUCUGAAGGUUAGCUAAAAGCUAUGCGGGAAGAAGUGGAAUCUCUAAUGGAGAAUAAAACUUGGAAGUUAGUUAACAAACCUAAGGAUCAUAGGAUAGUUCAAUGUAAGUGGAUUUACAAAUUGAAAGAAGGAUAUAAUCCUAGUGAUCCUCCUAGGUAUAAGGCCAGAUUAGUGGCGAAAGGGUUCACUCAAAAGGAGGGGGUUGAUUACAAUGAGAUAUUCUCUCCUGUGAUAAAGUACAAAACAAUCAGACUGGUUCUUGCAUUGGUUGUUCAGUACAACUGGGAACUUGAACAACUAGAUGUCAAGACUGCUUUCCUAUAUAGGGAAUUGGAAGAGGAUAUUUACAUGAGUCAGCCUCAAGAUUUUGAGGUGAAAGGUAAAACUAACUGUGUGUGCAAAUUAGAAAGAUCUCUCUGAAAAUAGAUUAGUCAUUUCCCAAGAAGCCUAUCUAAACAAAGUCAUAACCAAAUUUGGUAUGAAUGGAUCAAAAUCUGUGAACGUUCCCUUAGCAGCUCAUAUGAAUUUUUUUGGUGCACAAUCUCCUAAGACUGAGGAGGAAUUUAGAGAAAUGAGGAACAUACCCUACGCUAAUGCUAUAGGUUCCGUCAUGUUCUCUAUGAUAACAACCAGGCCUGACUUAGCCUAUGCUAUAAGUUUUUUGAACAGAUUUAUGUCAAACCCAGGAAAGCCUCAUUGGGCAGGUUUGAAAUGGUUGUUAAGGUACAUUGUUGGUACAUUAAAUCUGGGUCUAGUGUAUGAAAAGAGAUCUGAAAAACUUACUCCAAAGGGGUAUGUAGACUCUGAUUUUGCUGGUGACAAGGAUAGCAGAAAGUCUACCACAGCGUACUUUUUUACACUAGGUGACAAUUGUAUAACAUGGAAGUCACAGCUGCAGCCUUUAGUUACUUUGUCAAGUACUGAGGCAGAAUAUGUUGCCAUAACUGAGGCGGUUAAAGAAUGUACUUGGUUAAAAUGAAUUUUAAAAGAAUUGAACUUCAUGCAUGAUACAUAUUGAGGUAAAGUAUCAUUUUAUUCGUGAGAAACUGUCUCAAGGUGAAGUUAAUCUUGUUAAAAUUCACACUGAUAGGAAUCCCUCUGAUAUGGGAACAAAAAUUCUACCUGCAAGUAAAUUUAAAUUGUGCUUAUCUUUAUUACAUAUUGACACUGAUUAAUUUUUCUUGCAGGUAGUGGGCGAUGAUGAUGAACAGUUCUUCCAUGUGCAAAUUCGCAACCAAGAGAGAGUGUUAGGAGAACCAAGGUGAAGAAUGUGAGAAUAUGGUUCACCUAACACUAUCAACUUGUGACUUGAUGGUAUUGAUGUUGACACAAUAAGGUCUUCCCACGUUUUUGGCAGAGGCAUGGUCUUUCCUUCUUAUGUAGACUUACCCUCUACCGUUUUUGAGAGGAGCAGCUCUCGAUUUUUCUCCCAGAAGAAAGUGAGCUCUCGAUUUUUUAGCAAAGGGUGGUGGUUCUUCAUUGGUUUUCCCCUCUCUCUUGGAAGGUAAUUAGCAAGUCAUGGAAGGCUGUUCCUGAGCCUGAAAAACAGCCAUUAGAAGGGAAGAAAGCUGCUGCAAGUAAGGAGAAAAUCUGUCCAAAUUUCCGACCGAACACAGGUUGUAUUUUUCCAUCCCUUUUUUUUCAUUGUUUUGCCUUGAAUCUUGUCUAUUGGUUGAUUGAACUCCUAGGAUCCCCAACAGUUAAACAUAUGAACCAAAUGAGAGAGUAUAUCUAACCUAUUUCUUCAAACAAAAUGGUCCGACCCACUUCAGUUUUUUAGAAACUUACCCAUUAAUUAGACAAUCAAAACUGGUAACUGAAGCUAUAACUUGAUGGGAGUUUGUUUUUAUAUAGAUGGGUUUGGUCCAUAUGCUCCACCACCGAAAAUACAGAUUAUACACCAUCAUUAUAAAAACGUUGAGAGCGAAGACGUACCUGGAACAAAACGAGGGCUUCUUGAACAACAUCAAUGGCCGGAGGUAUAAACUCAAUCCAUGAGUUUUCGUUUUCUCGAUCUAAUUUACUUCUGCAGAAUUAUUUUUGGAUCGAUUUUCAAUCUUACAUGGAUCACCUCCAAAACAGUAAAGGAACCUGUUUGGGAUACUUUUUAUGAAAGACUUGUCCAGGAUCUUCAGCAAUUCGAAGCUGGUGGUUUUCCCGACUUGUAAUAGGGAUGAUCCUGGGAAGGCUUUGAAAGAUUGGGAUCUGUGGGGGCCCUUCUUCUUCACUGAUUUCCUCGGCCUCACUGUUUCCCGGUCGCCCUCCGUUGAU
rnacentral:lncRNA from 1 species